UAACGGACUAUGAUGGAGAAGGUAUCUGCGGCAGAUCCGAUCAGCGAGCCGGGGGCAGUGCAAGCCCGGCCGGACGACGCAGAUGACAGGCGCUCCGGAGUGCGUGUUGUUCAGGAAAGAGGGCAUUCGGACGGCGGCCUGCCGGAAGAAGCCAAGUAGGGUGGAACCGCGGGAGCAGACUCUCGUUCCUACG
rnacentral:sRNA from 1 species